AUGCUUGCGACCUUUCGGCAGCAAACAUUAGUCAUGGAGCUUGCCGUGAAGGAGCAUGAAGACGAGCACCGAAAGAGGAGGCGAGGAUCGACUGUCGGGCGUCUGUGCAUUCCUCGGAAUCGCCAUCUUGGGAACGAGAUGUUGAUGCAAGACUAUUUCGCGGAGAAUCCUACAUAUCCUCCGCACCUCUUCCGGAGAAGGUACCGAAUGUGCCGAUCCCUCUUUGUGAAACUUGUUCAAGCUUGCGAGGCAAAUUGCUGGUAUUUUACUCAAAGAAGGAAUGUCGCGGGCUUAAAGGGAUUUAGUGCAUAUCAAAAAAUCUCCGAGGCUAUGCGGGUGAUUGCAUAUGGCGUUCCGGCUGACUAUGCCGAUGAGUAUCUUCGCAUUGGUGAAGAUAGCACAAUUGAGUAUGUGCGUAGAUUUGCGAAAGUGAUUGUCCGUAUCUUUGGUCCUGAGUAUCUUCGGGCACCCAAUGAAGAUGACACAAAGAAAUUGAUGGCAUCUAAUGAGAGGAGAGGUUGGCCUGACAUGCUAGGUACCAUUGAUUGUAUGCAUUGA
rnacentral:rRNA from 1 species